rnacentral:rRNA from 1 species
AACAUAGCUUUUAGAAAUUAUUACAAGUCACGUCUGCCCGGUGAUCUUAAUUGGUUUAACGGCCGCGUUUAGUGCUAAGGUAGCAUAAUUAUUUGCCUUUUUAUUGGAGGCUAGUAUGAAUGGAUUAACGAAGCUUGACUGUCUCUAGUUAUUUUAUUAAAAAUUGGUUUAAAGGUGAAAAAACCUUUAUUUAUUUGUAGGACGAGAAGACCCUAUAGAGUUUGUAGUGAAAUUUAUUAUGUAUUGUGUUUAUAGAGAUUAAAAAUUUGAUUAUUUUAAAUUCACUUUUAUUGGGGCAAUAAAAGAAAAAUUAAAAAUUCUAAACUAUCAUAAUUUAUAAUUUUAAAAUUUUUAGAUCCUCUAAGAGAAUUAAGAAAAACUACCUUAGGGAUAACAGCGUAAUUCUACCAGAGAGGGCUAAUCGAAGGGAGAGUUUGCGACCUCGAUGUUGGACUAAGGGUUCUUAUAAGUGCAGAAGCUUAGAAGAGUAGGCCUGUUCGGCCUUUAAUACCUUA